UGGGGAAUAUUGCACAAUGGGGGAAACCCUGAUGCAGCGACGCCGCGUGGAGGAUGACGGCCUUCGGGUUGUAAACUCCUUUUGUCAGGGACAAUGGUGAUGGUACCUGACGAAUAAGCCACGGCUAACUCUGUGCCAGCAGCCGCGGUAAGACAGAGGUGGCGAGCGUUGUUCGGAAUUACUGGGCUUAAAGGGCGCGUAGGCGGUGGUGUAAGUCUGGGGUGGAAUGCUACAGCUCAACUGUAGAGCUGCCUUGGAAACUGCAUUACUUGAGUCGGUGAGGGGAAGCGGAAUUCCUGGUGUAGCGGUGAAAUGCGUAGAUAUCAGGAGGAAGGUCUGUGGCGAAGGCGGCCUUCUGGCACUUGACUGACGCUGAGGCGCGAAAGCGUGGGGAGCAAA
rnacentral:rRNA from 1 species